AUCGUUCAUCUUAAUUGCCUCUAGUUUUAUAGAGGCGAACGAGACGGAAGUAGGGACAACUCCCGAAGGAACGCGCC
rnacentral:ncRNA from 2 species